ensembl:snRNA U4 U4 spliceosomal RNA
AGCAUCGCACAGUGCCAGUAUCACAGCCAACGAAGUUUAUCUAAGGUGUGAUUAUUGCUAAUUGAAAACUUUUCCCAGAAUGCAUGGCUGGCUCAGAUGGGGGAACAUGUGACUCUUGAUCUCCCAGUCAUGGA